rnacentral:rRNA from 1 species
AAUAGAUACCCGGUAGUCCACGCCGUAAACGAUGUCGACUUGGAGGUUGUUCCCUUGAGGAGUGGCUUCCGGAGCUAACGCGUUAAGUCGACCGCCUGGGGAGUACGGCCGCAAGGUUAAAACUCAAAUGAAUUGACGGGGGCCCGCACAAGCGGUGGAGCAUGUGGUUUAAUUCGAUGCAACGCGAAGAACCUUACCUACUCUUGACAUCCAGAGAACUUAGCAGAGAUGCUUUGGUGCCUUCGGGAACUCUGAGACAGGUGCUGCAUGGCUGUCGUCAGCUCGUGUUGUGAAUGUUGGGUUAAGUCCCGCAACGAGCGCAACCCUUAUCCUUUGUUGCCAGCGGUUCGGCCGGGAACUCAAAGGAGACUGCCAGUGAUAAACUGGAGGAAGGUGGGGAUGACGUCAAGUCAUCAUGGCCCUUACGAGUAGGGCUACACACGUGCUACAAUGGCGUAUACAAAGAGAAGCGACCUCGCGAGAGCAAGCGGACCUCAUAAAGUACGUCGUAGUCCGGAUUGGAGU